rnacentral:rRNA from 1 species
ACUUAAAUUGAAGAGUUUGAUCAUGGCUCAGAUUGAACGCUGGCGGCAGGCCUAACACAUGCAAGUCGAGCGGUAGCACAGAGAGCUUGCUCUCGGGUGACGAGCGGCGGACGGGUGAGUAAUGUCUGGGAAACUGCCUGAUGGAGGGGGAUAACUACUGGAAACGGUAGCUAAUACCGCAUAAUGUCGCAAGACCAAAGUGGGGGACCUUCGGGCCUCGAUGCCAUCAGAUGUGCCCAGAUGGGAUUAGCUAGUAGGUGGGUAACGGCUCACCUAGGCGACGAUCCCUAGCUGGUCUGAGAGGAUGACCAGCC